rnacentral:rRNA from 1 species
AUAGAACGCUGGCGGCAGGCCUAACACAUGCAAGUCGAGCGAGCGGAGGACGGGUGAGUAAUGUCUGGGAAACUGCCUGAUGGAGGGGGAUAACUACUGGAAACGGUAGCUAAUACCGCAUACCAUCAGAUGUGCCCAGGUGGGAUUAGCUAGUGGGGGGGGUAACGGCUCACCUAGGCGACGAUCCCUAGCUGGUCUGAGAGGAUGACCAGCCACACUGGAACUGAGACACGGCCCAGACUCCUACGGGAGGCAGCAGUGGGGAAUAUUGCACAAUGGGCGAAAGCCUGAUGCAGCCAUGCCGCGUGUGUGAAGAAGGCCUUCGGGUUGUAAAGCACUUUCAGCGGGGAGGCGUUACCCGCAGAAGAAGCACCGGCUAACUCCGUGCCAGCAGCAGCGGUAAUAC